AUAAAGGCAACCGAGAUCUCGAUUCCGGCAUAACACGUUUUUUUGUGCAUUAUUAUUGUUUGUUGUUACUUAAACCCUCAAAAACCAACCGAAAAAUCAAAAAUGGGCGCUGAAAAGGUAUCCAUGAACAUCGUUGUCGUCGGACAAGUCCAAUCUGAUAAGGCCGUCAAAACCGUCGCCAAAGCCAUCCCAUCCACCAACAAAUUGAUGAACUGUUAAUGUGUGUAGUUCAUCCAUCACAAACAAAAAAAAGCCAUAACCCAAACAAUUCAAUAUGUAAUUCUGAUUGAUAUUGAUAUUAAGAAAUAAA